AGCUCCAAUAGCGUAUAUUAAAGUUGCUGCAGUUAAAAAGCUCGUAGUUGCAUUUCCGAGGCAAGGGAUUAGUCCGACCUUUGGUGGGUAUUUAAUCCUCUUGCCUCGUCCUUGAGUGGUGCUUCUUGGUAUUAAGUUAUCGAGGAGAUAGCCGCUCAUCGUUUACUGUGAGAAAAUUAGAGUGUUCAAAGCAGGCUUAUGCCGUUGAAUAUAUUAGCAUGGAAUAAUAAGAUAGGACCUCGGUACUAUUUUGUUGGUUUGAGAACCAAGGUAAUGAUGAAUAGGGACAGUUGGGAGUAUUCGUAUUCAGUUGUCAGAGGUGAAAUUCUUAGAUUUACGUAAGACGAACUACUGCGAAAGCAUUUACCAAGGAUGUUUUCA
rnacentral:rRNA from 1 species